GCGGACUCCACCCGGAACUGGUAGCGUGGCCCCUAGCCUUUGGGUCAUCCCUGGCUUGAAGGUGGGGUUUCACUGGGGACCCAGCUCUUCCCGCCCGGAAACCUCUUAGCCUCCCACCGCCAUCAAUAUACCGGCUGCGGUGCCCAGGCUGUCCACGCUAAGGGGUGCCCACAGGCCCAUGCCGAGCCACCCUCAGCCCCGCAGCCUCCCUCACGUUCUCGUUAGUGCCCAGAGUCUGGAGGGGGCUGAGGCGGCUGGAGGCUGGUGUGUCAGCAGCCCUAUAUCACGCACAUGUCUGUCUGGGUCGCAACAGUUCCCCGGGCUCAGCCACAACUUUGCUUCACACCAAAGCAAGCCCUGGGAGCAGGGAGAGGCCAGGGAACAUGAGCAAGCACUUCCUAGCCUGCAAGGUCAGGGUGUUUCCCAGGCCCCCAAGAGCACAGGGCUGCCCAGGUCCAGAGCCACAGCUGGGCCGCUGCAACUGCACCUGGGAGCAUGGUGGGAGCAUGGUGCUCGCGUCCCGCCAGCUCUGUAAGGUGCAGGGUUCUUGCCUGUUUCUGGCCCCGGCUGGUUCUGUGAAGCAUGCAGGCCGGACUGCACCUCCCCCACUGCAGCUGGCGCUCUCGCAGUGGCCACUCCAGAGGGGGCACCACUGCCAUCAAAAGUUUGCUGUAUCACCCAGGCUGGAAUGCAGUGGUGCAAUUAAAGCUCACCAUGGCCUUGAACGCCUGAGAUCAACAGAUAUUCCUGACUUAGCCUCCCCAGUAACUAGGACCACAGGUAUGAACCUACCACAUCUGACUAAUUUUUUUUAGAAUGUUUUUGUAAGACAGAAUCUCAUUAUGGUGCCCAGGCUGGUCUCACUCCUGGGCUGAAACAAUCUGCCUGACUCAGCUUCCCAACAUGCUGAGAUUACAGGAGUGAGCCAUAGCACCCAGCCAGUUAUUAACUUAUUUGCAGUAAUACCAUAAAGUAAUUAAUUGCAC
rnacentral:lncRNA from 10 species